rnacentral:rRNA from 1 species
GAUGAACCGCGCGGCGCAUUAGGCUAGUUGGUGAAGUAACCGCUCACCCAAGGCGACGAUGCGUAGCCGACCUGAGAGGGUGAUCCGCCACACUGAGACUGAGAACACCGCCCAGACUCCUACGGGAGGCAGCAGUAGGGAAUCUUCCGCAAUGGACGAAAGUCUGACGGAGCAACGCCGCGUGAGUGAUGAAGGUUUUCGGAUCGUAAAACUCUGUUGUUAGGGAAGAACAAGUACCGUUCGAAUAGGGCGGUACCUUGACGGUACCUAACCAGAAAGCCACGGCUAACUACGUGCCAGCAGCCGCGGUAAUACGUAGGUGGCAAGCGUUGUCCGGAAUUAUUGGGCGUAAAGCGCGCGCAGGCGGUUUCUUAAGUCUGAUGUGAAAGCCCCCGGCUCAACCGGGGAGGGUCAUUGGAAACUGGGGAACUUGAGUGCAGAAGAGGAGAGUGGAAUUCCACGUGUAGCGGUGAAAUGCGUAGAGAUGUGGAGGAACACCAGUGGCGAAGGCGACUCUCUGGUCUGUAACUGACGCUGAGGCGCGAAAGCGUGGGGAGCGAACAGGAUUAGAUACCCUGGUAGUCCACGCCGUAAACGAUGAGUGCUAAGUGUUAGAGGGUUUCCGCCCUUUAGUGCUGCAGCAAACGCAUUAAGCACUCCGCCUGGGGAGUACGGUCGCAAGACUGAAACUCAAAGGAAUUGACGGGGGCCCGCACAAGCGGUGGAGCAUGUGGUUUAAUUCGAAGCAACGCGAAGAACCUUACCAGGUCUUGACAUCCUCUGACAACCCUAGAAGAUAGGGCUUCCCCUUCGGGGGCAGAGUGACAGGUGGUGCAUGGUUGUCGUCAGCUCGUGUCGUGAGAUGUUGGGUUAAGUCCCGCAACGAGCGCAACCCUUGAUCUUAGUUGCUCAGCAUUCAGUUGGGCACUCUAAGGUGAACUGCCGGUGACAAACCGGAGGAAGGUGGGGAUUGACGUUCAAAUCAUCAUGCCCCUUAUGAACUGGCCUACACACGUGCUACAAUGCGCAGAACAAAGGGCAGGCGAAGCCGUCAAGGCAUAAGCCAAGUCGCACACAAACGCUGGUCUC